UGAGGAAGUAAAAGUCGUAACAAGGUCUCCGUUGGUGAACCAGCGGAGGGAUCAUUACUGAGUUACCGCUCUAUAACCCUUUGUGAACAUACCUACAACUGUUGCUUCGGCGGGUAGGCCGUCCCCUGAAAAGGACGCCUCCCGGCCCGGACCGGACCCCCCGCGGGACCGGACCCGGCGCCCGCCGGAGGAUAACCAAACUCUAUUGUAACGACGUUUCUUCUGAGUGGCAUAAGCAAAAUAAUCAAAACUUUUAACAACGGAUCUCUUGGUUCUGGCAUCGAUGAAGAACGCAGCGAAAUGCGAUAAGUAAUGUGAAUUGCAGAAUUCAGUGAAUCAUCGAAUCUUUGAACGCACAUUGCGCCCGCCAGCAUUCUGGCGGGCAUGCCUGUUCGAGCGUCAUUUCAACCCUCAAGCUCUGCUUGGUGUUGGGGCUCUACGGUCGACGUAGGCCCUCAAAGGUAGUGGCGGACCCUCCCGGAGCCUCCUUUGCGUAGUAACAUUUCGUCUCGCACUGGGAUCCGGAGGGACUCUUGCCGUAAAACCCCCCAAUUUUCCAAAGGUUGACCUCGGAUCAGGUAGGAAUACCCG
rnacentral:rRNA from 2 species